UACGAAGGAUUCGAGCGUUAUCCGGAUUUAUUGGGUUUAAAGGGUGCGUAGGUGGAUUAAUAAGUCAGUGGUGAAAGCCUGCAGCUUAACUGCGGAACUGCCAUUGAUACUGUUAAUCUUGAGUACAGUUGAGGUGGGCGGAAUGUGUCAUGUAGCGGUGAAAUGCUUAGAUAUGACACAGAACACCGAUUGCGAAGGCAGCUCACUAAGCUGUAACUGACACUGAUGCACGAAAGCGUGGGGAGCAAACAGG
rnacentral:rRNA from 1 species